UUGUCGAAUUGAUUGGCUUCAAAGAGAUGGAAUACUACUACUUGAACUAGAUCGAUUGUUGAGGCCAGGAGGUUAUUUUGCAUACUCAUCUCCAGAAGCAUAUGCACAGGAUGAAGAGGAUCUAAGGAUAUGGAGAGAAAUGAGUGACCUUGUGGGACGCAUGUGUUGGAGAAUAGCUGCAAAAAGGAACCAAACUGUCAUUUGGCAGAAACCUUUGACAAACGAUUGCUAUAUGGAAAGAGAGCCUGGUACCCGCCCCCCUCUUUGUCAGUCUGAUAGUGACCCAGAUGCUGUGUGGGGAGUAAAUAUGGAAGCUUGUAUAACACCUUACAGUGAUCGUGAGUACCCUUUUCUCAAUGUUAGUUAUGGUUUUUGCAUUAUCUGACUUUGGUGAUUCUUUUUGGAGCUAUUUUAUGCCUGCUUCCUUAGUGGCAUGCAUUGUAUUUUUAUUCUAUGGUUUCUACUAUCCGUUCCAGCACGAAGAGUUAUUUCCCUAUAAUAUCUGCUUCGUUAUGUAGUAUGUGUCUCUCCAAGUUACAUUGAAUUGGCCUUAGAACUGAAUAUUGCAUUCUUUGCAAAGGAAUACCUCUUAGAAAACUGCUUUUGAACUGAGUGUGGUCGAGUAUUUGAGUAUGAAACUUGUUUGAUAUAGGCCUGUGUGUUGCAUUUACACUACUGAUUAGUUGUAGAAGCUCCCUAAUUUGCUUCAAAUUCAUGUCACCUGCGCACCAAGUUGCUAAAAUUUUGCUUAAAAUUUUAUUUUUGAUUUGUUUAAUUUUUAAUUAAAGAAUAUUUUUAUUUCCUUUAUCAGAUGACAACAGAGUUAAAGGUAGUGGAUUAGCUCCAUGGCCUGCAAGAUUGACUAGUCCUCCUCCUAGACUAGCUGACUUUGGCUAUUCAAGUGAUAUGUUUGAAAAGGACACGGUAAUUGAAAAUUACAAUUUUUCCGCUUCAUGAUGAUUGUGAUAUUUAUUCAUUCGUUGUAUACUGCGCAAUUCAUAAGCUUAAUAAACAAACUGUUGGGUUAAAUUUUGUCAUGUGGUACAGGAACUUUGGAAAAGGAGAGUAGAGAAAUACUGGAAUCUCUUGAAUCCUAAAAUCAAAUCAAACACACUGAGGAACAUAAUGGAUAUGAAAGCACACAUGGGUUCAUUUGGAGCUGCUCUUAGAGAUAAGAAUGUUUGGGUGAUGAACGUUGUACCCAAAGAUGGAUUAAACACACUCAAGCUCGUCUAUGAUAGAGGCCUCAUAGGCACUACCCAUGAUUGGUAUUGAAGCUCUUUCACCUGAAAUUUAAAUAUUUAGUUAUCACUUCUUUGAUAUUGUUCGACACAUUCAAGGCAUCCUUUUUUUAUGAACUGAUUUGAUUGACGUCUGGAAUUCUGGAUUUGAUAAAAAAAAAGCAUUAUUUCAAUCCAGAUUGAUUUAAUCUUUUAUGUUGUUUGUUCCUCCAGUUCAUGAAAGAUUAGAUUUGAUCAGAUUUUCAUGUGUCAUAUCCUAACAGGUGUGAAGCAUUUUCAACGUACCCUCGAACCUAUGAUUUACUCCAUGCAUGGACUGUCUUCUCCGACCUAGAAAAGAAGCUUGAUUCCCCCUCCACCUGGAUACAAGGUGAAAAUCCAUUGAGCAUAGAUGUGAUCCUCAGCAUAUCCUUGUGUACAUUUAUCUGAUUUUAGUAACAUUGAUUGUUUCUCUGAUGCUGCAGAUCCCUAUUAAGUGGCCACAAAGCAGAGAUGAGGUGUGGAAAGCAAAUAUCCCACAUACUCACCUUGCACAUGAGAAGUCUGAUCAGAAUUGGAUGGUUGUCAAAGGUGAAAAGAUAAACUUUCCUGGAGGAGGAACUCAUUUUCAUUACGGUGCUGAUAAGUACAUUGCAUCGAUUGCUAAUGUGAGGCUAAGUCUGACUCUACUAGUGUUUGCUAAAAAAAUAGAUGCAAUUAUGUAUUUUGUUUUUAGUAUUUGGAAUACCAUAGGAUUUUAGUAUUAUGUGUCUAUCUUUCUAGAUCUUUAUUUUUAUUAAAUGGCUCAGAGUAUCCCUAUAUGAAGAUUUGCUAUGAUUUCAUGGAGAAAUUAUAAUCUUACAUUCUAUUUUGCAUUGCCAGAUGCUCAACUUUUCAAACAAUAAUCUAAACAACGAAGGAAGGUUGCGGACAGUGCUUGAUGUUGGCUGUGGUGUUGCUAGUUUUGGAGCUUACCUCCUUUCAUCUGAUAUCAUUGCAAUGUCCUUGGCACCAAAUGAUGUGCAUCAAAAUCAAAUCCAGUUUGCCUUAGAAAGAGGAAUUCCUGCAUAUUUGGGUGUCCUGGGAACCAAGAGACUCCCUUACCCAAGCAGAUCUUUUGAACUUGCUCAUUGUUCUCGUUGUCGAAUUGAUUGGCUUCAAAGAGAUGGAAUACUACUACUUGAACUAGAUCGAUUGUUGAGGCCAGGAGGUUAUUUUGCAUACUCAUCUCCAGAAGCAUAUGCACAGGAUGAAGAGGAUCUAAGGAUAUGGAGAGAAAUGAGUGACCUUGUGGGACGCAUGUGUUGGAGAAUAGCUGCAAAAAGGAACCAAACUGUCAUUUGGCAGAAACCUUUGACAAACGAUUGCUAUAUGGAAAGAGAGCCUGGUACCCGCCCCCCUCUUUGUCAGUCUGAUAGUGACCCAGAUGCUGUGUGGGGAGUAAAUAUGGAAGCUUGUAUAACACCUUACAGUGAUCGUGAGUACCCUUUUCUCAAUGUUAGUUAUGGUUUUUGCAUUAUCUGACUUUGGUGAUUCUUUUUGGAGCUAUUUUAUGCCUGCUUCCUUAGUGGCAUGCAUUGUAUUUUUAUUCUAUGGUUUCUACUAUCCGUUCCAGCACGAAGAGUUAUUUCCCUAUAAUAUCUGCUUCGUUAUGUAGUAUGUGUCUCUCCAAGUUACAUUGAAUUGGCCUUAGAACUGAAUAUUGCAUUCUUUGCAAAGGAAUACCUCUUAGAAAACUGCUUUUGAACUGAGUGUGGUCGAGUAUUUGAGUAUGAAACUUGUUUGAUAUAGGCCUGUGUGUUGCAUUUACACUACUGAUUAGUUGUAGAAGCUCCCUAAUUUGCUUCAAAUUCAUGUCACCUGCGCACCAAGUUGCUAAAAUUUUGCUUAAAAUUUUAUUUUUGAUUUGUUUAAUUUUUAAUUAAAGAAUAUUUUUAUUUCC
rnacentral:lncRNA from 1 species